rnacentral:rRNA from 1 species
AGAGGACCGGGAUGGACGAACCUCUAGUGCACCAGUUGUCGCGCCAGCGGCACUGCUGGGUAGCUACGUUCGGAAAGGAUAACCGCUGAAAGCAUCUAAGCGGGAAGCCCCCCUCGAGAUGAGGUAUCCCUGAAGACCCCUGGUAGACGACCAGGUUGAUAGGCGGGAAGUGUAAGCGUUGCAAGGCGUUGAGCUCACCCGUACUAAUCGGUCGUUCGGCUUGACCAA